rnacentral:rRNA from 1 species
UACGGAGGGGGCUAGCGUUGUUCGGAAUUACUGGGCGUAAAGCGCCCGUAGGCGGCUUUGUAAGUUAGAGGUGAAAGCCCGGGGCUCAACUCCGGAAUUGCCUUUAAGACUGCAUCGCUAGAAUUGUGGAGAGGUAAGUGGAAUUCCGAGUGUAGAGGUGAAAUUCGUAGAUAUUCGGAAGAACACCAGUGGCGAAGGCGACUUACUGGACACAUAUUGACGCUGAGGUGCGAAAGCGUGGGGAGCAAACAGG